UUUUAAAUAUAAUUUCAUUUUUGAAAGGAAAACCUUUUUUGACAAAAUAAAUUCUUAUUAUACAAAAACUUUGCGUUAAUAUGGAUCUCAAACCCCAGAGAUCGAAAUUUUUAAAAAAAUAUACACUUAAAGAGGAAGAUCAACAACUCAUUUCAAUUUUGACUGGAAUAGUAGAAGGUUACCAAACAUCUGUGGGGACUUCAAACAAAAAAAAAGACAAUGCAGGAGAUUUCCUCCAGAAAGUGGAACCAACUGCUUUCAAAAAAGAAAAAACUGGUUGAAAUUGUUCAUCAUUGCAAAUUUAACACAUUUCAUUAUGGAUUUUUCCGAUUUUUAAGAAGAUGGCGAUCAACAAAACAUUUUUUUAUUUUCACAACAUAUUAAAUUCAUUACUAGAGUUUAUAGUACAGUAUAUUAACAACAUAUUUAUAAACCAAACAAUCCUCAUUUUUGGCCAUUCUAGCGAUUAUGUAUCUUUUUCAUUAUACUAAUAAUUUCUAUAAUUGA